rnacentral:tRNA from 1 species
GUCCAGAUGGCUCAGUUGGUUGAGCAUUGUCCCAUACACUGAAAGGUUGUAGGUUCAAUUCCUGGUCAGGGCA